GGGAGUGUGGUGUAGUCGUUUGAGUAUUAGACUACAACUCUGGAGACCAGGGUUCUAAUCCCAGCUCAGCCA